rnacentral:ncRNA from 2 species
UACGUAGGAGACGAGCGUUGUCCGGAGUUACUGGGCGUAAAGGGUGCGCAGGCGGUCCGUUUUGUGGGUGGUGAAAUCUCCUGGCUCAACUGGGAGGGGGCCAACCAAACGGGCGGACUUGAGGCGUGGAGAGGGACGUGGAAUUCCGGGUGGAGCGGUGAAAUGCGUAGAGAUCCGGAGGAACACCGACGGCGAAGGCAGCGUCCUGGCCACGACCUGACGCUCAGGCACGAAAGCUGGGGGAGCAAACAGG